CCUACGGGAGGCAGCAGUGAGGAAUAUUGGUCAAUGGGCGAAAGCCUGAUGCAGCAACGCCGCGGGAAGGAAGAAGGGUUGCGGCUCGUAAACUUCUAUCAACAGGGACGAAAGAAAUGACGGUACCUGAAUAAGAAGCCACGGAUAACUACGUGCCAGCAGCCGCGGAAAAACGUAGGGGGAAAGCGUUAUCCGGAAUUACUGGGUGUAAAGGGUGAGUAGGCGGCAUGGUAAGCCAGAUGUGAAAGCCCUGGGCUUAACCCGAGGAUUGCAUUUGGAACUAUCAAGCUAGAGUACAGGAGAGGAAAGCGGCAUGCCUAGUGUAGCGGUGAAAUGCGUAGAUAUUAGGAAGAACACCAGUGGCGAAGGCGGCUUUCUGGACUGAAACUGACGCUGAGGCACGAAAGCGUGGGGAGCGAACAGGAUUAGAUACCCCUGUAGUC
rnacentral:rRNA from 1 species